rnacentral:lncRNA from 1 species
AAAAAAAAAAAAAAAGAGAGAGAAGGAGAUUACAAAGGUGGUCCUGACCUUUGAUAAAUCUCAUUAUUGCUUGAUACCAACCUGGGCUAUCUUUAUUGCCCAAACCAAUAGGAUAAUGUGCUGAGGUUAGGGAGCUUCUCCCCUGCAGAGAAUCCCUGAUCUCCCAAAAUUUGGUUGAGAUCUAAGGUUGAUUUUGCUAUACAACUCCUUUUCUGAAGUUUUACUUAUUUCCAACAAGGCAAGUUUUCCUGCUUCCGUGAUGAUGGAGAGCAGGCACCUCCUUUCUUGAGUUUCAGCUUGCUUCUGACAGGGAAGGUGAGUGUAAGUUUUUUCCAGCUUCUAAGAUGGCAGAGAACAAUCACCAGCCUGAGACUUAUUUCCAGCAGAGCUGGAAGCUGUAUCUUCAAAAUAUGUCUGUUUGACUCAAAACAAUCAAGGUAUUCAACAGGAGUUAUUAUGUAUGAAAAAAUACAACAGGAAUGUAAAAAUCUUGAGGAGGCUAAAAAGAUGUUGGAAAAAGUAAUAUUAAAUCUUAAAAAACGUAUGGAAAGUACACAUUGGUGAAGACACAUUGGUGAAGUACAAAAAUAUAAAUUGGAUCUAGAAGAAAGGGCAAUGCAGGCAAUGGAAAAAUUAGUACAAAUCCCUUUACAGGUUAGUUUGUAAAAUCAGGUAAGUUUAUUUAUAAUGUGCUUUCACUUAUUUCACUGCAAUGGCUCUCUUAUAGUAAUUUGCCUUGUAGAGUUCUAGCAAAGAGGUGGCAUCUGUUUUUACUUUUAUAUGUUUAAAUUUCUAUCAUUAUAACAAAAUCGAUUUUUCACAGUAAUGAUUCUCAGUGUGGAGUCAUUUGAUUAUUAAGACCCAUUGACAUGAGAUUACAUCCUCUGCCUAUAAAAAUCCUGGAAGAAAACCUAGGAAAUAUUCACCUGGACAUUGCACUUGGCAAUGAAUUUAUGGAUAGAAAAUGCAGUUGAAAGAUAUUUCAUAAAGGAAGAAAAAGUAAGAAUACAGUAGAAAAACGCAUCAUUUCUGUGCCAUGGAAGAGAGAACUCACAAAGAUGACAGCUUCUGGCUAUGUUGGAUACUAACCAGUACUGUAAGUACCCAGCGAUCUGACGUUAACAUUGGCUGUAAAGCUCCUUUAAUGUUCCUUGCAAUGAUUUGAACCUGUUACUGGAACCCUCAUCGCUUAUUGAGUUGAAAAACAUUGUUGAUAUGUGUUUAUCUUAUAUUUGCAGUAGAGUCAUAAUUUUACUUCUUAGAAAAUUAUACAUUAAACAAAAAAGACACAUGAAAUUGUAUAUUGUUUAAUGUUUCAACUGUGAUAAUCACUCCAUAU